AUUUGUUUUCUCCCUGGUCUACUUUGUGGAGAGAAUCCAAUGCAGCUCUACAAAUUGCAAAGAGUUAUAUUUGUACAGCACUUUAAGGUAUACAAAUCUCACCUCUGGGAAGCAGGUCACAAGAACAAAGAUUUACAAUUGGAAGGGAACCUUAGAGGCCAUCUCAUUUUACAGAGGAGGAAACUGAGGUUGAGAGACAUUGAUUGAUUGGUUCGGGGUCACAGAAGUGUCUAAGAGAAGACUUGAACUCAGGUCUUUCUGACUCCAAGCCAGAACUCCAUUCACUACACCACCCAGAUGCCUCUUGCCAGCCUCCUGGCCUUUGUGGUGACCUUGGCUUUAACUUCAAAUCCCACUUAUGACCUUUCACUUUUCCAUCUCCAUGACUCAUAUUUCUGAUCAUUUAUCUUGUUGUGGUUCAGUUGUUCAGUUAUGGGGUUUUCUUGGCAAAGAUACUGGCAGAGUUUGCCAUUUCCUUCUCCAAAGGAUGAAGGCAAACCAAAGUUAAGUGACUUGCCCAGGGUCACAUUGCUAAUGAAAGGUCUGAGGUCCCUAUUUGAAUUCAGGUCUUUCUGACUCCAGGAUCAGCUUUCUAUGCCCUCAGCCCCAUCACCACCUCUUAUUAAUCUUACUUUAGUGAAAUUCCUGCCCCCAAUUGGCGGAUUAGUUUAUGGAUACGCCCAAAGACCUCUCACGGUAUUAUGUGAUCCAAUCUGGCGCUAGAACUCCAGCAUUCCCCAACACCAGGACCUCCACUUAAAUUCUCAAGGAUGGCCGGUUGUAAUGUAAGCCUCUCUAGUCACAGCCAGCCAGAGAACACAGGUCCCCAUCAGUUUACCCUCACUAUUUCAAUCAGUGAUCGUUUUCCUCAGUUUACCAUUCUCUAGUCAUCAGUAGUAGUUUCCCUCAGUUUGCAAUUUUAUUACAGGGAACCGUUCAAAACUCCUUCGCAGCCAGUCCAGGCCAGGGUCACCAGUCUGCCGUGGGAGCAGCGAGUUUCCGCUGGUCGGCCCCCAUUUGGCAGAGCUCACAUUCUUCGUCAGUCUUUUGGUCUCCCCAGCGGCAUUUGGGAAAUGACUCAGGCUGUCACCAGCCCCUCUGGAGGGUGCGGAUUUUCCUGCACUUCUCAGAAGGCUCUGAAGUGCCACUCUGACCUUUUCACAGGCUGCGAAAUGUGUUUCCAGCAUGUGGAUGAGGACAGCUGAAAGGAGGGAGGGAUUGGGUUACUUUGAAACAGGCGGGCCAGCUUUUCGGGGCCUCCGCUACUUCAGGGCCUGCUCCCCCAGCUUAUUUCCGAGUGGCUAUUCAAACCAACCAACCAAAGGUUAGCUGUGUUUGCCAAAGCCCGGUAGACCCCGGACGGGACCCCAAGAAGAGUUGGCCCUGGAAGCCAAGCAGCUCUCCCCAUUGCUCUCACGGGGUCCCGCUAAGAGUGCAGACAGGAAGGCUGUCUCCCAGGAGCUUCGGCGAGGCUGGGGUACAAAUGCCCCUUUUUGCCCCCAUAUUGAUUACAGUUCAGAACGCCUCUUAACCAAAUCCUCCGCUUAUCCUGAAAGGCAUCUCCAGAGACUCUGAGCAACAAAAUGAUGACUCAGAAGAUGGUAACCAAAUCAUCUGCUUCGAAUUGUCUGUGUGCAUAUUUUGCGUGUUACUGUGUGAAAUUCGGACUGCAGGGCACCAAAUGACUGAAUCCAGCAACUCGCUACUAUCUAAGGUAUUAAAGCAUUUCAUCUGCACAGACAUUGAAUAGACAUGGAAUAUUCCAAACCUAGGGAUAUAAUUGAUACCAGAUUAAGUUAAGAGUCAGUGACCUAGUUCCUUUAAAGCACAAUGCUUAAUUUGAAAGAUGUUAUGAUAUUGAAGAUGAAAAGAAAUCAAGAGCUCACUGAGCAAUACAUGGGUACAAGAUUACAAAUAGUCCUCCCCACUGUAGUCUAUUUGAAAUGUGGUGACCCAAAGCUCCACCAAAGAUUGUAUAGUUCCUUCACUUUACCAUGUUGAAGUUCCACAAGGCUGAUAUGGAAGUUAGAGCAUUGGUCUUUGAAAAGGACUUGGAAAUCCCUGGAAGGAAGACGCUAAAGACCAAACAAAGAUUGAAUGUGACUUAGGACACUCUAGGAAAGCUAUUUUGAAACAAUGUGCUGUUGAUCAAAGCCUGCACUUUCCUUAUUUUUGUCUCCACACACCUACUAAACCUGUAUUUCUGCUGAUGAGUGAAAUUCUAUCUCUUCAGGGAUCCCAAGACCCUAAAUUGAUAUAUCAUUCAGCAGCAUUAAAAUGUUUCUUUUGCAUGAUUAAAAGUGUGGGUGCGCCAUUUUGCUUGAAAGAAUGAGUGCUUAGCCAUUUAAAGUAAGUCGAGACUAAACAACUAAAAAGAGAAAAAUGGCCUGUGUAAUUGUCCAGCUGGUAUAUUCAAUAUCACUUUCAAUGGGGAGAUUAACAAUGGAGUUGGAGUUGGGGAUUUCUCCAAGUAUUGAACUCUCAGAAAUCCCUGGUUGUUCAUGGAUGGGAAGAUCUAAUUUGGCCAUUUGGGGGGAGGGAUUAAAAGAGUGGGAUAGUUGGGAUUACCAUUCAGAAGUUUUUCCUAUUUCCAUUGGUUAGUGUUUGUUCAUUAGUAUUACAGUUGUUACUACUUGCUACUACCACUUCUACUACUACUACUACUACUACUACUACUACUACUACUACUACUACUACUACUACUACUACCACUACCACUACCACUACCACUAUGAUGACUAUUUCUAUUCCUAAAUAAGAAACUGUGGACCAGAAUAUGUAUCGAAAGUUGGGUGUCCCAGCCAACCACUCACGAUGUAAUCUGUGUAUAGUGAAAGUUAAAAGGCCAGAUAUCCAUAAGCAAUAAAACAAAGUCAUCAGAGAAAGGAAUUUAUAGUACACCCAAAGCAGAGAAGAAGCUAAUAGAGUUAUAUAUGUUUUAAGGGUAGACACAAUCACGUGUGCACAAUAUAAAGCAGAAGGUUCCUAAUGAUUGAAAAAAGUGGGGGGAGAAUCUAUUUGGUAGUAGCUUCAUGAACUUUGGCUGAACUUCUCCGUUUGGCAGGCUCCAGUAAGGACAGUCUAAGAUGAGGCAUUAAGGCUUACAUCUGAGAAGCUGACAUCAAGCAGACAGCAAGACAUGAUAUCUUAUUUUCCUGAGCUAUGCUGACACAAAUUGAACUCCCCUUAUUAUUUUCUUAUGCCAGUAAAGUUGCACUCAGAAUUUAAGCAUUUUGCGUGCAGAUGUUGAGAGCUGAGUUGGUUUAAUUUAAAUAAUUUGCAGAUUGUUUUAGUAGCACUCAAAAGACCAAGAUCCAUUCUGCAGCUGAGUUCAAUUUUAUGAGUUCUGGUUUCUGAUCUUCUGCAAGGUAAAUUUGGGGCAUUUAAAAACUCGAGAGCCCCGAGGACACGUGGCUGGCUUUGUUAAUUGGCAAGGAAAAUUGAGAGGGGGCUGAAGGUUGGUCUUUAAGCUGCUCAACUGAUUCCUCACAUUAGGUAAUAUAAACUAUCUUGAGAAGGAUUUCCAUGCUGGGAAAAGGAGAGGGAGAGAAACCAAGACAGGGAAAGUGCCAUGAUUCUCAUUUCCAUUCUGUUUAAUUUUGUUUAAAGUAUCAAAAGUAUAAAAUCAAAAGUAAUUAAGGUUGACUUGCUAUAAAAUACUGGUUCCCCUUCUUUUCUGGCACUAUCAUUGUCUGGCUUCCAAUUUUUCUGGGCGCUAGUAAUUAUGCAUUUAAGCUGUUUAUGUAAUGCCCUUCCUCUCCUGUCUUACUUCUUUCGCCCAUGUUUACUUACUAGUGUUUCUAAGGAUUAUAUUUGACCUCUAUGGAUCUCAAGCAUGAUUACAUGAUUGUAGCCCCACUUAGCUAAGAGUCAAUAGCCCCCAAUUCCAAGUGUAUUAUGUGUUUGCCUGGUUAAGCAGUCUAUACUCAAACACAAUGCAAGUGAACGUUUUUUGGGAAGAAAGUAAGAUGUCAGUUUACAUUACAACCCCCCUGGGGUGAAUGGAGAGAAUGUGGUACUUUAUAAAGAAAUGUACUUCUUGUAAUUUAUGACCAAAUAGUAAGAGAUGAGUUUUUCUCUUUUGGGUUAUAUGUGUCUCUUUCUUUGUACGUGUGUAUAUGUGCAUAUAAAAUUCUUAAUAAUGGUCUGGGGAAAAAAUGUUCUUUCCAGUUUGGGCAAUGACUGAAACUGUUUGUGCUUGACUCCAAGAUGUCCCAUUGAGGAUUGGGGAGCCAUGGGGUCAGUAUGUGGGUGUAGUUAGGAUGUUCAUCUCCAGAGUAGCACCCUGUCCUCACCCCCCAAAAAGAUGGUGGGGGGUGAAUCUUUAAUUUCAGAAAAGAGGUGAGCAGGGUCAUGGCUGCUCAGCCAUACUCCCCAGAGGCAGGAGAUCUUUUGCCUCUUUACUCCAAAGCAGUCAUUUCAGUGGUGAUUUGUUAGGUUGGAAGAGAUGAAGAUGUGUAGUCAGAGUUGAAAGUUAUGAGUUGUUAUUCCAGGAAUUUUUUUUCUCAUGAUGAACAGAAUAAGUAGGGCUCUCACAAAAGUUUUUUCUUGAAAAAAUAAAUGGAAAAAAGGAAAAUAAAGCCUAUAACAAAACAGUGGGUUUUUUUUUCCUCUUUGGCUCCUGUACUGGAAGCUCUCAGCCUCUAUCCUUUGUGCAGGAUUGUGACCUAUUUUUAAAUAUAGAUAAAGUGUUGGUGGGAAUAACAGCUUCUAGAAUGUUAAAGCAGGAACCAGCCAAACAAUCAAUCCAUAAGCAUUUAUUUAAUACCUAUUACAUGCCAUACUAUCUGGGUUCUAGGCAUAUGAAUACUCUCAGGGAGUCUGCAAUUUUGAAAUGGAUGUCAGAUAUCAUUUGGCCCAUGUUAGUUUUAUAGAGAAGGAGCCUGGGGUCCAGAAAGGGCAAUAAACUUUCCUGAGUUCAGCUCCAGGAUUAGGACCCACAUUUUCUAUCCCAAAGUCUAGGACUUUUAUCCAUAAUGCAACAUAACCAUUCAAAAUCAGAAUGCCAGAGCCAUGAAUAAAUGUUCUAGGAUCCAUCUUUAAACUACAACCUCUUGAUGCCCAUUUUGCUAAAAGUAAUAUCUAGAACACUGUUAUAGAUGUGAGUUGUUCUGGGAACUUGAUUCUAACUGAGCCAAUCUUCAGAAGGCCAAAAACAGGGUGGUUAAUAGACUCAAAUAAUGGCUUAUUCUUUCCCUACUGGAAAAAGUCAUGAAUAGUACUGUCUUCCCAGGUCAACAAACAUAUGCCUUCUAAGGACCUCCUACCACACCCAUUUUACUCAUAUGUGAAUGCAAACCAUAUAUAAAUACAUUUUCCAGAAACAUUCACAUAGCCAAAAGGAGACCAAGAAAAAUUAAUUUUCUCUCUUUUUUACCCAUCAAGUGCAUAUUAUAUCCAAUAUAUUUAUAUUUAGCAAGUUUCUAUCAUGUCCAAUCUGAGUGGAUACAAAGAUAAUAAUGAGGCAGUAUAAUGUAGUAGAGUUCUGAACUUGGAAAUUUGAGUUCGAGUCCUGCCUCUGGUGUUACCUGUCUAACCCUAGGAAGUCAUUUAACUUCUCUGAGUCUUAGUUUCCUAAUUUGUAAAGUGAGGGAGCUUGACUAGAUGGGUUCUGAAGCCCCUUUCAGCUCUAGAUAUAUGGCCUACGAUGACUUGAAACAAUUCCUAUCUCCAAGGAGCUUACAUUCUGCUGGGGAGGCACAAUAUGACAUUGAGAUAAGCAAAUGCAAAUUAACCUGAGAGAGAGAGAGAGACAGAGACAGAGAGAGGGAAAGAGAGAGAGAGAAACAAACAGAGAGAGAGAGAAACAGACAGAGAGAGAGAGAGAGACAGAAAAAGAGAGAGAAAGAGAGAGAGACAGAGACAGAGACAGAGAGAGAAUAGCAACUGACUGAUGGGUCAAGUCACAGGCAUUCAUUAAAUAUUUGUCAUAUGAAUGACUACCUUUACUAGAACUCAAAUCAAAGCAUAUUAAAUAGCAAAAACUAUUAAUGAGCCAGGAAGAAUUGCAUUGUCUUGUUUUAUUGUGAUUUGUGUUUUAAAUGCUCUUAUGGCUAAUACUAUAUAGUCAGUUCUGCUGAACUAUUUCUCAGAUGUUAAUCCCAAACUUGCCUCAUGAUUUUAAAAAAACUCAUAAUGAAAAUGAAGCCAUCAUAUCUCCUCUGCUAUAGUCAAUGGGAGUACCUUUAAAUUCAUGAUUCCCAAGCAAAAAUUGCAAAGCAAACUCCCUCCAUCCAUCUCACUUCCUCCAGAAACAUGUUCAUUAUAUAUCCUAGAAACACCUUCCACUUGAACUCCCUCAUUCUCCAAGUAAUUGGAGAAUAGACAAGGAAAACUGAAUAAGCAAAGGAAUUCAGUGUUGAGGAGAGAAUAUUUAAUGAAUUUUAUGGGAAAAAAUGAGGAUUUUUUUCAGCUUAGAAAGAUGAUAGAACAGCCUAGAAAACCAUGAAUGGUAUAAUUAGAGUGAACAAAGACAUUCAACAAGUCCUGGGAUAUUAAGAACACAGGGAAAGACAUAAGGGUAGUAUAAUAUUGGGCAAUAACACUGGGCAAAGAGUCAAGACUUUCUUACUAAAUUAGAUUUUCAAUUUCAUGAUGGUAGAGACCUUAUCUUAUUAAAAUUUUAUACUUUCUUUUACACCUGGAAAAUUGGUCUAUUUAUAUAGUAGGCAUUUAAUAAAUAUUUGGUACAUUUAUUUGAGAAUUCUUAGUUUUGGAAAAAUAUUAAUAAACACUCUUUAAGUUCUCCUUUUAGAUAAAUGGAUUUUAACUGUUUAUAAAGUGGCUUAUAAAAUAUAAAAUAUCUAUUUUGAUAACUUUAUUUCAAUAUAAUCUAUUUUCUUUGUCAUCCUAUGCAUUCACAAUUAUGC